UACUUCCCAGGCGGAGUACUUAAUGCGUUAGCUGCGGCACCGAGGGGGGUAACCCCCGACACCUAGUACUCAUCGUUUACGGCGUGGACUACCAGGGUAUCUAAUCCUGUUCGCUCCCCACGCUUUCGUGCCUCAGCGUCAGUUACAGUCCAGAAAGCCGCCUUCGCAACUGGUGUUCCUCCCAAUAUCUACGCAUUUCACCGCUACACUGGGAAUUCCACUUUCCUCUCCUGCACUCAAGUCCUACAGUUUCAAAGGCUUACUACGGUUGAGCCGUAGCCUUCCACCUCUGACUUGCAAGACCGCCUACGCACCCUUUACGCCCAGUAAUUCCGGAUAACGCUAGCCCCCUACGUAUUACCGCGGCUGCUGGCACGUAGUUAGCCGGGGCUUCCUCCUCAAGUACCGUCAAUAUUCUUCCUUGAGGACAGAGCUUUACGAUCCGAAGACCUUCAUCGCUCACGCGGCGUUGCUGCAUCAGGCUUUCGCCCAU
rnacentral:rRNA from 1 species